UACGGAGGGUGCGAGCGUUAAUCGGAAUUACUGGGCGUAAAGCGCAUGCAGGUGGUUUUGUUAAGUCAGAUGUGAAAGCCCGGGGCUCAACCUCGGAAUUGCAUUUGAAACUGGCAAACUAGAGUACUGUAGAGGGGGUAGAAUUUCAGGUGUAGCGGUGAAAUGCGUAGAGAUCUGAAGGAAUACCCGGUGGCGAAGGCGGCCCCCUGGACAGAUACUGACACUCAGAUGCGAAAGCGUGGGGAGCAAACAGGAUUAGAUACCCUGGUAG
rnacentral:rRNA from 1 species